UAGAGAGUUGCGCCAGAUCCAAAAAGUAAGUUCCAAAACCCUUAACAUUCUAUACUGAAACCAUUAUACUCAUCUCGCAAAAACUCCCGAAAAAACCCACAAGCAGUUCGACACCCACCACCGCCGCUACACAUCUGCACCACCGCUCCAUUGCGUCGUUCGCCUUCCGUCUACUUCCGACCUCAACUGAGCGCUGGCUUCCCAAUUCUAAAUUGGCACAACAUCAGCAAACUCACUAUCCAACAUCUGAAGAAUUGAGCAUUAGGAACAUCAAAUUCAAGGGCUUCGUUUUGGGAGGACUUCAGAUCUCCCGUCGCAUUGGUUUCUCAUUUGUUAUUACCGCCUUUUCCAAGAUUACUCUAUUCUUAUGAUGGUUACAGAAAGAAAUAGAUGUCUUAGAUUGGAGUGGAAGCCAUGGUUGAUACUCUUCACAAGCAGGCGCAUGGUCCUUUGUUUUCAAUGACAUUGAGAUUCUUGAUAAGUGUACACAAGGAGUUCUGUCUUCGUCAAGGAGUACCCUCACCCAUCUCGAAGCUGACUGAAAAGGUUGCUUCUUGUGGACAAAGAUGCUCCAGAAACACCCCAAUAUGUGAGGCAACAGAGAGGAGCUAGAGAUGUGCUGAAUGAAACCACAUAAGCUCAUCUCCUCAAGAAGACACCAGUGAACACACACUGGCAGCAUCAACUGCGUAGAGAUGAGGCUGGAACAACAGCUAUUAAAACAGUCGAGCUAGAUGCAGCUUUUGGAGGGAAGGCUGUGCAGCAUAGGGAGCUCCAGGGUUUUGAAUCUGACAAAUUUUUGUCGUACUUUAAACCAUGCAUCUUACCUUUAGAGGGUGGAGUUGAAUCUGGAGUUUUGUCGUACUUUGGUCUGCAAAGUUCUUUUUCGAAUUAUUGAAAUUCAAGUGCACUUGAGCAAGAAGAAUUGCAGGGAAUAUAUUCCGCGGUGCAAGCUGAAGUGCUGCUCCUACUGAUGUGCAGCUGGCUCAUUCAAGAACACUACAAACUGAUUUUCUUUGCUUUUUUACUGAACCAGUACGAAGAAGGGGAAUGGUAUUGUUGCAAUUUUUUUAUUUUUUUCCAUUUCCAUUUUGUAAA